rnacentral:rRNA from 1 species
GAUGAACGCUAGCGGCAGGCCUAAUACAUGCAAGUCGAACGGCAGCACAGCAGAGCUUGCUCUGUGGGUGGCGAGUGGCGGACGGGUGAGGAAUACAUGGGAAUCUGCCCAGUCGUGGGGGAUAACGUAGGGAAACUUACGCUAAUACCGCAUGCGCCCUUGGGGGAAAGCCGGGGACCUUCGGGCCUGGCGCGAUUGGAUGAGCCCAUGUCGGAUUAGCUAGUUGGCGGGGUAAUGGCCCACCAGGGCGACGAUCCGUAGCUGGUCUGAGAGGAUGAUCAGCCACACUGGAACUGAGACACGGUCCAGACUCCUACGGGAGGCAGCAGUGGGGAAUAUUGCGCAAUGGGGGAAACCCUGACGCAGCCACGCCGCGUGAGUGAUGAAGGCCUUCGGUGUAAGCUCUGUCGGGAGGGACGAAGGGAGCGAAUCUCUGACGGUACUCGCAAGAAAGCACCGGCUAACUCUGUGCCAGCAGCC